GACGAACGCUGGCGGCGUGCUUAACACAUGCAAGUCGAACGGAAAGGCCCUGCUUUUGUGGGGUGCUCGAGUGGCGAACGGGUGAGUAACACGUGAGUAACCUGCCCUUGACUUUGGGAUAACUUCAGGAAACUGGGGCUAAUACCGGAUAGGAGCUCCUGCUGCAUGGUGGGGGUUGGAAAGUUUCGGCGGUUGGGGAUGGACUCGCGGCUUAUCAGCUUGUUGGUGGGGUAGUGGCUUACCAAGGCUUUGACGGGUAGCCGGCCUGAGAGGGUGACCGGCCACAGUGGGACUGAGAUACGGCCCAGACUCCGACGGGAGGCAGCAGUGGGGAAUAUUGCACAAUGGGCGGAAGCCUGAUGCAGCAACGCCGCGUGCGGGAUGACGGCCUUCGGGUUGUAAACCGCUUUCGCCGGUGACGAAGCGUGAGUGACGGUAAUGGGUAAAGAAGCACCGGCUAACUACGUG
rnacentral:rRNA from 1 species